rnacentral:lncRNA from 1 species
GCCUGUGGAGUUGUCCCGAAGAGCCGCAGCCAUCGUCUUCAUCAUCUACGCCCCUGGAUCGGAGCCGGGGGCAACACCGUCGUCGUCCACGUCAAUCCCCUUCGACGGAUAUCGCCUCUGCCUCGUCGUCGAUCCCCUCGACUCCAACUACCUCCGGCUCCCCUGAGUUCCUAUGAACCCCCCUGUGAGCUCCUCCUCCGACUCCCGGCCUUGCCCCCGUCGAUCUGUCGCCGUAGAGUCACCCCGCGAGCUCGCGCCCGCCGUGGCCGAAGCCCUGCCGCAACCGCACCGGGUUCGGCCCCGUACACGCUCGCCGCACCCAUGGUCGUGCUCCCCUGCGCGCCUAGCCCGCGCCCGCCCUGCGCCGGCGCCUCUCUCGCCCGCGCGCCUAGCCACGACCCAACUGCUCGCCGCCCCUGCUGCAGUCGCCGGCGCCCACCGCUGCCGCUGCGCCCGCCGCUCGCCGGCUCCCGUCCGCAGCGCCGCGGCGCCUGGAGCUCCGCUCCCUGGCCACGCCUGCAGCCCCGCGCCCGCCGGGGCUGCUGGCCUUGGCCAUGGCCAUGGCCGAUGGCACCGUCGGCUCCCUGCGCGUGUGUGCGUGCGUUCUGUGUGUGGUGUGUGUUCGUGUGUGUAGCCGCCUACCCCUGUUGAGAUUAGGAAACUAAUCCCCAUUAGUGCUAAGGGCGCUGAUCUGCGCCGGUGCGCCGGCCCAACUGUUGGGCCGGUCCAGCACCAAUCGUCCGAUGCGCGAGCCCUAGCCGUCCGAUCUGGGGCCGUUGUCUUCCUCCUAUCCCUUUCCUUCCGCGGCAGCGCGAGCGCCGCCCUCGGGCCUGCGCGCCCUCCAGGCUGCCGGCUCCUCUCCAGCGUCACCGUUGCCCGCAUGGCCCGCCCCCGCUCCGCCGUGGCUCUCGCCAGCUCCGUCGGAUGCAGCUCCUGCCGGCAAAGGUCGCAGCUCCGACGAAGGAGUGCCGCCCCGUCCAGCUUGUAGCAAUGCCGCUCACCGCUGAUGGCCACGUCUCCGCGCGAAGCCGCCAGUACGUAGUUCACCGCCGGUCCCUCGAGUUCGUCGCCGCUGCAGCUCCGUCGUGAAGCCAUUGCAUCAAUGGUGAGGUGCCAGUCCAGCUUUUUGUCGCCGGGUUGAAGCUUUUUAAAAAUAUGGUUGAAGCUUUUCACGUCAACGGUUGCGACUUUUUUGUUGUGUACUCGCGAGUUGAAGCAUCCUAUAAAGCCAGUUGAAGCUUUUUAUAAAAUCGGUUGAAGCUUUUCAAUUCAACGGUUGAAGCUUUCACAAAAAAUGACGGGUGUGGAUUUUUGUUUCAUAGUGGUCCGUUGAAACUUCUCUAUUCCGUCGUUUGCAGCUUUUCAAACUAUGGUUGAAGCUUUUUAUAAAACCGGUUGAAGCUUUUCAAUUCAACGGUUGAAGCUUUCUCAAAAAAUGACGGGUGUGGAUUUUUUGUUUCAUGGUGGUCCGAUGAAACUUCUCUAUUCCGUCGCUUGCAGCUUUUCAAACUAUGUUUGCAGCUUUUCAUAUAAACGGUUGUAGCUUUUUUUAGUGCAUGGUGUCCGGCUGAAGCUUUUCGUAUGAACGGUCGUACGAACAGCAGCUCGCGGGUGGUAUAAUCCAUGGCGGCUUCCAACUCCGGCUGGCCGGGCGCGGAAGGAACCUGCAGCCGGGGGUGGGGGGUGGGGGGGAGGGUGGCCAGCGGGAAAGAAGGGGAUCUGAAGGAUGGAGGUGACCUGCGCGGGGUUAGGGCUAGCCGGGGGCGGGAUUUGAAGGAGGAAGAAGGGGAUCGGGAGGAGCGCGAGGCGUACGAUGCGCUUCGCCUCGCUUCGAUCGAGUGGCCCGCGCGGGACCGGCGGAACGGUUCGGCCGGCACGCCGUUCCUAAACACUUCCCUAGUGCUAAUCCCCCUAAGUUAACUAAAUUGAUUGGUUUGGUCUAGAUGUAGUCUAUGUCAUGUGGGCCUAUCUUUUUUUCUCAAAAAAAAGCCUAAUUAAAAGUCUGUUUCAAUGUCAAGUAGGACCCACUUAUACUAUUUAUUGGUUGACUGGUCAAUUGUUGACCGAGUUAACCCAGCCCCUAGCCCUAUCGGUCAUACAUAGUGGGUAGGUGUUGUUGUAUACAAAAGGUAUUCACUACUUUUAUUUUCGAAUUAGAAAAAAAUAAAUUCAAGACAUCGAUUAAACUUUGAAAAUUCAUAGAAAUUAAAUCGUAACUCCGAUGAAAAUGUUUUCUAUAUGGAAGUUGCUCAGAAAAAUCCAACGAAUCCGAAUAUGCGGUCUGUUCAUCUAUCACAUGCCCCUAGCAUGCUGAACAUGGAACAUUCCCUCUCCGGUCAUCUGUAUGACACAUGUCCGGAACCGGGAGAUCAAUCCCGGUUGAAUUCCCCCUUCACCUUUAUCGUCUAGCCAAACGUCAGGUCACACCCGGCACAACAUAUUGCCACGUUAUGCUUUGUGAUGCUAUGUUUGCUUUAUAUUUACUGUUUCUUCCCCCUCUUCUCUCCGGUAGACCCCGAGACCGAUGCUGC